UACGGGGGGGGCAAGCGUUGUUCGGAAUUACUGGGCGUAAAGGGCUGGUAGGCGGCCAACUAAGUCGGAUGUGAAAUCCCCAGGCUUAACCUGGGAACUGCAUCCGAUACUGGUCGGCUUGAAUCCGGGAGAGGGAUGCAGAAUUCCAGGUGUAGCGGUGAAAUGCGUAGAUAUCUGGAGGAAUACCGGUGGCGAAGGCGGCAUCCUGGACCGGCAUUGACGCUGAACAGCGAAAGCUAGGGGAGCAAACGGGAGUUAGA
rnacentral:rRNA from 1 species